rnacentral:rRNA from 1 species
GACGAACGCUGGCGGCGUGCUUAACACAUGCAAGUCGAACGGAAAGGCUCCAGCUUGCUGGAGUACUCGAGUGGCGAACGGGUGAGUAACACGUGGGUAAUCUGCCCUGCACUCUGGGAUAAGCCUGGGAAACUGGGUCUAAUACUGGAUAUGACCUUUCUCCUUAUGGGGUCUGUGCGUGGAAAGUUUUUCGGUCAGGGAUGAGCUCGCGGCCUAUCAGCUUGUUGGUGGGGUAAUGGCCUACCAAGGCGACGACGGGUAGCCGGCCUGAGAGGGCGACCGGCCACACUGGGACUGAGACACGGCCCAGACUCCUACGGGAGGCAGCAGUGGGGAAUAUUGCGCAAUGGGCGAAAGCCUGACGCAGCGACGCCGCGUGAGGGAUGAAGGCCUUCGGGUCGUAAACCUCUUUCAGCAGGGAAGAAGCGCAAGUGACGGUACCUGCAGAAGAAGCACCGGCUAACUACGUGCCAGCCGCCGCAGUAACAC